rnacentral:tRNA from 2 species
GGGGGUAUAGCUCAGUGGUAGAGCAUUUGACUGCAGCUCAAGUGAUCUCUGGUUCAAUUCCAGAUGCCCCCU